UACGUAGGGUGCGAGCGUUAAUCGGAAUUACUGGGCGUAAAGCGUGCGCAGGCGGUGAUGUAAGACCGAUGUGAAAUCCCCGGGCUUAACCUGGGAACUGCAUUGGUGACUGCAUCGCUCGAGUAUGGCAGAGGGGGGUAGAAUUCCACGUGUAGCAGUGAAAUGCGUAGGGAUGUGGAGGAAUACCGAUGGCGAAGGCAGCCCCCUGGGUCAGUACUGACGCUCAUGCACGAAAGCGUGGGGAGCAAACAGG
rnacentral:rRNA from 1 species